AAACUUAAUGGCAUCUAAUGUUCAAACUCAAAAUAUUAGGUUGAUCUUCUACUACAGAGAACAGUAAUCAUAAAAUUCUAUGAAUUUGAGGGGCUUAUAUUAUAAAAUACACAUUGGAAUACUUCUUAUUUACAUACAAAUCACUGCAUAUGCAGUAAGAAUACAACAGACCUAUACAGAAUCCCCUCAAAUUUCAGGCAUGAACGUAUUAGAGAAAAGAAGCUCUCAACUCUAUGACCAACUUAUAAAGAUAAUGCUGUAAAGGAAGGAAGCCAGAGUUCUAACCUGGUUCCACCAGCUCCAAGGGCUGCAUCUGCGAUCCGGGGUGAUAUCACACGCACAACACAGCCAUAACUCUCAAGUAUCUCACGAGCAACAGUCAGUCCAGCAACAAAAUUCCAUGUCAUGUUAUCUUCAAUCAUGUUUUCUGUGAAAAGCUCUGCUCCAAAUGGUGUGAGUGAAUGCAUUUGCGUCUGCAGGUGUAUUUAUCAACAAAACACCAUGUCACGGACCACAAUAAAAGUAAUAAAUGCAAUGCUCUCUGACCUAUCAUUUUCUUUUAUUAAAGUUCUUUCAUAAUGACGCUGAGAUGUUCUUUCUUAUUUUUCAACUAAUUUGCAUAGUUAAGGCACAGAAGGGUGGAUUCCCUUGCCAGCUUUGCUGGUGAACUAAAUGUGGGGGUUUUCUACUUCUGUUAUAAUCCUCCAGCAAGAAUGAAAGAGGUGCUCAGGAUUCAGUGCUUUAUCCCCUUGUUUGUGUUCCAAGAAGUUUUGGAUUUCAGACUCAUUUUUUCUUUAAAAAAAGGGUAUCUUCAAACUUAUAGAACAUAUCAUAAAAUAAGAUGAGUACUUUGGUAUUCAA